rnacentral:sRNA from 1 species
UCGCAGAUCGCAAGACAAACCAUCUAGCAACCUAUAUCCUAGAUCGCUCGUCAGAUCAUCUGAUAGCUUGCCUUGCAGCUUGUUAGCAAGAUCAUUUGGUAACCUAUCUCACUGCUCGGCUCAUCAGUCAGGUCAUUUCUCUGCUAGGCAUUCAGAUCAUCUAGGAGAGCAUCCCACAGCUCCUCAACAACUCAUGAGGUCCAUCAGACUACCUAACUCACAAGCUUAGCCUUGUUUUAUAUCGUCGACGCGUGCCAAGCUAAACUGACGUAUCUUGGAGGUUCAACGGAUCAAAUUUUAAUUCGCAUCUUCCUAAAGUAUAAGCCGAAUAUUCACUUCUUUUAAUUCGGAAAAACUCGAGUUUAGCAUUUGGAUUUUCCCGAACUGGGGGGGACUAAUUGUUGCCGGAAUUAGCACCUCCGACAAUACCGGCUUAAACCAGAGGAACUACGAAUUAGACUGAGAUUUCAGUCAAACCGGGGUAUCCCGGUUUAGCCUGUUAAUGGGCCAAAAUAAGGAGCUCAUUUGCCGACUUUAGCCCGAAGUAGGGAGACCGUCUAGCCGACUUCCUAAUUCGAAGAAAAAGAAGUUUUCUCCUUUGAAAAUAGCAAGUCUUUGGAGAUAAAGGAAAUUAGAAGAUUCAAGCCUCGAAGAAAUAGAAGUUUAACAAAUCUUUUAACCGUCUUAAUAGUGUAUAAAUAGAGGGGUUUGUCCUCUAUUUCAAGGAUCCGAAAUUUAAUACUAAAAACCCUAGUUUUCUUCAUUGUUCUUGGGCAAAACCCUAACUUUGUCUCCAAGCAACUUUGUUCUUCUUUUCAUUGAAUCUUUGGUCACUAAAUAGCGAGAGAGAGUUAAGUAAAUUUGUUUACCCCUUUUAAACAAAUUUAUUGUGUGAUUUUCAGAAUCAACAAGGAUAAAAAUAAAA